UACGUAGGGUGCGAGCGUUGUCCGGAAUUAUUGGGCGUAAAGAGCUUGUAGGCGGUUUGUCGCGUCUGGUGUGAAAAUCCGGGGCUCAACCCCGGACUUGCAGUGGGUACGGGCAGGCUAGAGUGUGGUAGGGGAGACUGGAAUUCCUGGUGUAGCGGUGAAAUGCGCAGAUAUCAGGAGGAACACCGGUGGCGAAGGCAGGUCUCUGGGCCAUUACUGACGCUGAGAAGCGAAAGCAUGGGGAGCGAACAGG
rnacentral:rRNA from 1 species